UUAAUUUAUCUAAGCAAAACCACGACACCGCACUAACCUUAAUAUACUUUAGAAUGUCGAUAUCAACUCUGAUCGCCAGUUUAGUCUAGGCUUCAUAAAAGAUACGACGCUAUGCGUGUUCCACUAAUACUAUUGUUUUUUAUAUACGCUGUUUUAAAUAUUUGCAAUGGCCUUGGUACGCCUAUGACUUGAACAAAAGGAAAUGCAUUAAAUUUCCGUACUCGGGCUAUGGAGGGAACGUAAACAGAUUUGAUUCUUUAAAUGAAUGCGUAAAAGCGUGUGAUCCUGCAAAAUUAUCACUGGAAAAUUACUACAAAGCUGCUAGAAGUGUACUAAAACAACGAAAAUAUGAAGAAGAUUAAAAUUUGAAACUUUAACACCAAAAGAA